UGCUGGUCCAAGCGCGGUAGUGUUUACAACUAAUUAAUCACAAUCAGUUACAGGUUUCUUCGGUCAUUCUCCACUCCCACUGCUUCACUUGACUAGCCUAAA
ensembl:misc_RNA Y_RNA Y RNA